AGACUACAGUAAUUGAGAGAUUGUUUUUCCAGUUGCCAAGAGACAGACAGCUUUCUUUGAGAAUGCAGUGUUGUGCUCACAGCCUCAGCUUCCUCCUGCUCUCCUGCAGGAUUUGGGAAGUCGAUGUUCUGGUAACCAAGCCACCCCUGACAGGACUGGAAUGAGCUCAGCUCCACUAAUGGAUAGAGAGUACCAGCAGGCAACAGCUGAUGUUUAAACAUGUUUAACAUUUAAAGAGAAUACUGCUGUUCUGCCAAUGACUUUACACCUUCAGGUAUUAGAUUUUCAUUAUGAAAAGAAGAGAAGAUACAUAUUUAAGUGAAGAUUGCUGUCAGAAAGUUUUAAUAGACUAACAAUAAAUCUAUUCCAAGCUGGCUGCCAGGUGCUGGGAAAAACUCCAAAGGUCUGGGUUGAAGAGAAGAGAUGUAAUGCCCAUACAUGGGGGUAAAAAAGCAUGAGGGACUGAUUUGGAAUCCUACAUUCAGCCUACAGCCAUUAAAGGGAAACAAAGACCAUCUUGCAGCAAGGAGAUGUUUCCUGUUGUGCUCUGCUGGCUUCAUGCGAUUAAUGACCUCAGCACUUCACAGAUAAGUCUUUCUGUGUGAAUGUGAUCUUCUCCUGUAUGCACAAGGGCACACAGCCACUAAAAAAAUGCAUGACAAGGAAUGGAUGAUGGAGCUAGCAGUGCAACUGAGGUGCUGGAGCAUUCUCAUUAGAGAUGCCAUUGUUUUGUGUAAAGUGUAGGUUUCAAUAUAUUCAGUAACGGUGAUUAAAAUUCGGAGUUUUCCUACAUGGUAAGCCUUGCCACUCUGAUCAAAUCCACCUUGUGAAAUUCUGUAUCCAUGAAAUUCUGAAAUAUAGUUUUGGCAAUCUCAGCUUUAGCAUGUGGGUUCAGCUGUGGCAGUGCACUGUUAACAUGCUUAUUCUAACAACCAAGGGGAAAAAUGUCCAGGUUUUUGCGUAUUAGUUCGUAAAAGGGUACUGAUAUGGCUUCAAAUGUCAGGCCACUCUGUAAUUUUUCUGCACUUUGGUUUUGCUAGGCAUAUUUUGGUGAUGCCAUUCAAACAUUUCUCAAAAAACCGUUGACACAAAGAUAAAGUUAUUGCAAUGUUACUUAGCACCACGGCAUCGCCAAACCACCUGGAUGGUCUUGGGGAACUUCCUUCAGACGAUGCAAGGUAGAGGAAGGGGUUCUCUCUCAUCCCCAUCAGCCUUUCUUACCUUCACCUGACCACUUUGGGAGCAGUUGCUGUCCAUUGAAAACUUCAGCCUUUCCUUGAAGCUGCAGGGUGCCAUGGCAGGCUUGAGGCACCUCCUCCCGCUUCUGGGAGGAAGGCCUUGCUGUAGUGUCUGCUGUGUUCCCUUCAGGGCACAUUUAGCCACACACAGGGUGUUUUUAGGAGCACAGAGCACGUUUUCUGUAGGAAGACAGGAAAAUACACAGCCCUCUUCCAGCUUUGCACAAGUCAAAAGCUCUGAAAGGUCUGCAUUGUCAGGACAGGAUCGAUAGGCACCAGCAUGACAGCAGUGACACUCAACACACGUUAGACAUUAAUGUACAACACCUCUCAUCUCUACAAAGUAUGGUACAGAGGAAGGAAGGACCAGAAAUGGUAUGUUUUGAAGUAAAAACCAGCUGCCUCCAUUCAUGAAGGAGUCAAAAUAAUCUUCAAAAUUAAUAAUGCCUUUUAAAUUAAUUUUCAUUUUUUAAAAUUCAUUUUCUGUUUUACAGGGCUAGGGAAGCCUAACUGAUAUAUGAACAGUGUUUUAAAACCAAAUUCUUGUUCCUGUCAGGAAGCCCUGAUACAAGAUGCACUGAUCCAUUCCUUCCCAUAGUGAGAUUAUGAAUUUGUUGAAAAGAGGGAUGUGCACCAAACACACCACCACAAUGGUGUGUCCUGCUAUAGCAGCACAGAUAGGAGCCCUGGGAAAAGUAUGUCAUGUUCUUAUCCUUCAGCUAAUGUGUUCUGGAGCAUCUCCCCUAUUCAAACGAACUCCUAACUUAUUUACACAAAAGGUGGAGUCCUCAUCUUUAGCUGGACAGGUUUUCUUCUCACCCUUCCAUAUCUACCAGUCUGAAUUUUCUACCUGUGAUAAUUGAACCAUUCCCAUAGUAAAUGUCUGUGUACUUGGAGUGAGGCCCAGGUACCAAAGUGUGGGAGUGCUGCCUGACUGCAGGGAACUGGGAAACUGCAGCAAGAACUCUGUGGGUUUAAGCAGCUUCCUUGGGAACAUGCAGGCAUUGACUCUUCCCAGAGCACAGCAAGGAAGGAAGGUUUUGCUCUGGCUGACAGCUAAUUUUAAAGAGAUGCAUUUAUAUUUUUAGACACUGCACUUGGAAUGCCAGUUAAUAUUUUAAUCUAUUAAAUGGAUAUGGACAAUUGAUGGCAGAAUUCAGGGACUGGAACUAUGUGAGUUUGAAUUAAUUAAUGCUCUAAAGGGAGCUGAACAGAUAAAGCCCUCUGAUAAUGUAACACCAGAAGGCUUGAACUUCCUUGUAACAGAAUAAUUUCUCUAGGCAAGACAAAUUUUGCUUCCAUUUAUUUUUGAUAUCAGGUUUACCACUACCAGCCCCUGCUAUGCCCUUUAAGGAGCUAAGUUUAAAGUUAAUGGGACUUCUUGCACCAAGAGUUGGCCAGCCAUAACUGCAGACAGCAAUGAGGUACCUGAUUAGUGCAAAAUGUGACGCUUUCGCUCCUUGGCCUCCUGCCCAGCGGCAGCUACUUCUGCUGAGCACAUCGAAUGAAUUCAUGUAAGUCACCAAAGAAUUGCAGGCCAGGAAUGGCUGUUGGCUGUUACUGGAUCAGACCAGCUUCUGACCAGUCAGCUAAAGAAAUAUCCUGUACUUCAAACACUGGACUAUCCAUUUAAAAACAUUUAAAAAUACAUACAGUGAAAUAGAGUUGUUAGACUGGAAAAUCCUCUUUAACAUGAUACCAUCUGACCAUUAAAAGUCUGAAGAGUUGGAAUGUCUCAUCAAGGAGUUAUUGAAUUGUGUAAAUAAAUCUUUCUUUAGAAUUUAUUGAUUGGUGUGUAAGAGCUUGUGAAGUCAAAUGUGCUUCUUUGUCUUUAGGCACCUUCAUGCAGGAAAUUGGGCCUUUAGAUAAUUCUCUGAAUACCCCCAAAUUCAGAGUAGUUAUGUUAAUGCAUACUGCAAGAGAAAAACACUAUUUUCUUCCUUUUAUUCAAGCUUCAUUUUAAUGGGAUUAUAAACUGGCCUUUUAAAUGCAGAAACAAAUUCCUUCUGUUGCCUUCUACAAUAAUUUUUAAUUAAGAGUCUGUUGCUGGCCAAAGGUUAUCUCAAAGGAGCUGUAACACCUGGAUUCCCUCCCUCCCUCCUUCCCACGCUACUGCUGCCAUGGAUCAUGCCCUUCUGAGCUCAAUAAUUUAAACUGAUGUCUCAGCACUGAGUGGAUGAGAUUUAUAGACAAAAAUGUGCAUUUCUUAAGACUGAGUAACUCAGCUGUGGUUUUCCUUGAGAGCCCUUACUAAUUUCUGUUUAGAAUUUUCUCCUGAUGCUUUUUGUUCUACUGCUUGUCACAGCUAUAGGAUAACUGGGUCAACGCCUUAAAGUCAAUACUAUUAUCACUCUGGAAAUCCUUGUACUGCCUUGUGGAAGGAAAUGCAUUAAUUUUAGAGCUGAGUCAAGCCCAGAAAUGAAUUAGCACAUUGGGUAAAUAUCUGACACCACAUUUUUAAAAGUAACUAGUCACGCACCCCGAGCAGAUGACAAGAAAGGUACAUGUCCUCUGGGCUUGCUUAUGGACAGCCUUUGUGCCAGCUUUCUGCAUUUGUUUAUCUCAUUUGCUAUGAAAACAGGUAUUAAAUGGAUUCUUUUCUUCUCCUCCUGUCAUAAUUCCUGAUGGAAUUAUUAUCUCACUGGCCAAUUUCAGCCCAGAUCUAGAGAGGGAAGAGGACUCAAUGAUGCUAAGUAUUCAUUAUACUUCAGGAUAUAGAUAGUUGGAGAACUGAGAUGCAAAGGUUGCACCAUGAAGUUGCUCAUUACCUGACAAUAGGACAUAUAUAUGAAUGGUCCAGUGGUGAAAGACUUAAUGGAAUCAAAAGUAUCCAAUCCAAAUCCAUAGAAAAUAUGACUGUGUUCAUUCUGGAGAUGAUGAAAUUUUAUUUCACUGAUUCAUUGAAAAAAACCCAAAUUAAUUCAGUGAGUUUUCUAAAUGAAUUUGGAAGGAAAUGUACAGUAAGUUGGUCAGAUCUGGAUAUGCUGUUUUGUAUUCCUGAAGUUUGCUGUGAGUGUGUACAGUGUAAUGCCUACUCCCUACCUCAAUGCAUGUUAGAAAGCUUAAUUACCCUAAACACACACAGCUUUAUCAGGAAUCACAAUGAGAGCAGAAACAGGACAAAAUAUCAGCUGAGUGCUUUUGAAAGAUAAGAUAAAGAAAGAUCUUUUAAGUGCAGAUAAAUCUCUCUCCCCUUUAUUUUUUAUGUGCAGUUCCUUUAUUAGCCUUUUGGAACACAUAAGAUUUAAAACAUAUGAACAGUAACAGUAUUUGAAAUUACCAUCUUAAUGUACUUCAACUGUAAAAGCAGAGAACAAAAUCCUACAGUACAGGAGACAGAUGCAUAAGUGGAAAUGGCCCCAGUGCCAUAGCCUUGGAUGGGCAGUGCUCAGAAAGGGAAUGAACACAGUCACUAAAUUUAAAGAAAGACAGCACUGAAUAAGAAAAUGCACAGAAUUAGCUUGAAAAUGAACAAAAGCCUUAAUUUCAUGAACCUGUGGAUUUAUUUCCUUUGCCUGAUCUCUUGGUAAAGAUAUGAACAUCAAAAAUUACAGCUACCCACUGACAUAAUUCAAUGACAUGAAGUGCAUUUACUUCUUGAGAGCUUUAAAGCUGCUUUUCGCUCUUCCCCAUACUGCUUGUUUUCACACAUUUAUCUGUGCUUGGCCUCAGCUCUCUCCAUCUGACUUGGAGGUGCAGCUGUAAUCCACUUCAGUACAGAUAUCCGGCUCUUCCUUUAGAAACUUCCUCUUGCUAUGCUAUAGCUCUUGUAAACGCCCUGGCGGAAGUGGCUUUUUCCUCCUUCCUACUCCUGCAAGAGGUCCCAGAAGUACAAGUGGCUUAAUAAACCAGACAACAUUUGGUUUGAAAAGAGCCUGAAGAGAUGUAGUUUGCAUUAACUUGAAUGCAUUUUUUUCUUACCUUAUAGAAACAUCAUGCAUAUCACUCAUGUUUAAACAAAAUGCCUGGCAAAGCUGUGGAAGCUGCAGACACUGUCCUAACACUUUAAUUUAUUACAGCAAAACUGCCAGGUUACUUUCCAUCCUUUCUACUCUACAUAUUUGAGAGAGAACAUCUGUCUGGCAACAAUAAUGGUUCCAAGUCAAGUAUAUGAUUACUUUUCUUCACAGAGAAAGAUGGCUGAAUGACAGUCUAGAUGUGAUUAUCUUUCAUUUGCAGCAGUUCCCUUUAAAUAUGUAAUUUUUAAAUGAAAAUUUAGGAAAAAAUAUGGCAUGCAUAUUAUUAUUGUUUCAUGGCACAAUUUUGUUUAUUUAUCAUCUUAUGUUAUAUAUAUAUUUUAUAGCAUAAAAGGAGACAGUCCAUUCUGCCUUAGCAACAUAGUACUCUGGUUACUCAAUUUGGUUCUGGCAAGACAGGAGGAUAUGAAAACAAGUGAGGUUCCCACUUUUAUGUAUAUUAAGAAAAUCCCCAAAGGUCUGAAAUGGCAGAUAUUAUGGGUGUGCUUUGUGUCAGCCCAGUGAGAGAGACAAGGCCUUCGAAAGGCCUAAAAUAAUAGACAAUGGGUUAAAAAAAAAAAAAAAAAAAAAAAAAAAAAGAGAGAGAGAGAAAAAAGAGGAAUUUCAACUGGUAGAGAGAAGACUACAGAUGCUUUGUAGAAGACAGAGGUGCUGGUUGGUCUCCUACCUAGAAGGACCAUGGAGGUGAGAUAUACAUGGAGAAGCUGGGAAGUUGCCAAAUCAACUUGAAGAAAGGCAGCAGCACCUUCCCAGCUACCAACACCCCGGAGGAGCUCUGCAAGGACUGACUUCCAGGCUUUUGCUGUCCUUUGCAGAUGCAGGAUGGAAAAGCCAGGAGACACAACUGCCCACCCCUGUGGUGGGCCAUCUGAACA